CAGGCAGUGAGAGGGAGGGAGAAGGGGCUGUGUGCUGGAAGGGGGUGAGCCAUUCUGUUGUCAUGGCAACAUUCUUCUGCAGCUCCUCACUGGGUCACUCAGUCUCAGGCGUCAGCUUGCCUGAAGGUCCAGGAUAGAUGGGAAAGCACUUGUCUCCCUCUCCUUGUCUUUUUUGUGAUGAGACGUUGAGAUGAUUUAAAAAGAGAAAAAUGGUUACCAGGGUAACUGAAGCUUCAUCCAUCUGACUCAAGAGGAAAAAAGCCCAAGCCACAAAAGGGAGUAGAAACUAAACCACAGGACGUAUUGUGGGAGGCCACCCAUAGAGAAAGGGUCCUGACUGUCAGUAAAUGUGCUUGUUACACACGCACACGUGGAUACAGAGGAGCACUGCUUCCAGCCCAGAGCAGCACACUGACUGAGGCAAUAGGUACCAAGGGGGAGACCUGAUGAGACAAUGAGGAGGGAAUGCAGGCCAACCCAGAUCAAGCAAGGCAAGAGGGGCAAUGUACCGUUUCAGUAGUUAUCUACCGGUUCUUUCACGGCUUAUUUGAAAUCCGCAUUUCAUUUCCACCUAUUUGUGUAACUACUUAUUUAGGACAAACUCUAUCCUAUGUCACCUGUGUUCUCUCCCUUUUGUGGUACUAAAACCGAUCACAUAAAAUGUACCAUGUUAAGCAUGUUUAAACGAGCAUCGAUUGGUUCCAUCAGGAAGUUCACACUGUUGUGCAACUAUCGCCAGUAUCCUCCAUUUCCAAAAUUUUCAUCAUCCGACCUGUAUCUUUGUACUCUUUAAUUAAGAACCCCCCAGUACCGCUUCCCCUCCGCGCCUGGUAAUCACUACGUGUGGAGAAAAGCCAAAAAGCAGACGACUUAGAGACGCAGACAUCCAAGUUGGUGAAGAACCUCGGCAGCAGUUUAAGAAAAGCAAGUUGAAAGAAGGCAGCUCUGAGUUUUUUCAAACCCGGAAGGCGGGGGAAGAGGUGGUCCGAACUGGUACAGUGCGCAACAACUGCCACCUACUGGCCAGAGAAACGGAACGACACACAUCACAAAGGAAAAUCCAUCGUUUCCUCUGUUCGCCUGUAAAGAGCCCUGCAGAUCAUAGCUGAGGUGGCAAAGAGGAAUGCUGCUGAGGGGGAGCGAAGGCUGCGGUACAAUCGAAGUGGCCCGGCCGAACGGUCUUCGGCACAAUAGCCUUCUACGGUCCCGCCCCGGAACUAAGCCAACAGAAGCAGGAAGGCCCGCGUCCGGAAGUUCCGGCGCCCGGUAGAGGAAAAGGCAGGGCUUCGGGAUGCGUUCCAAUUUAACCUUCUAGUGCUCCAUGACCCACGCUUCUCAAGAAGCUCAAUGGUAAUACAUUAGAAAGAAGAAGAAGAAGAAGAAGAAGAAGAAGAAGAAGAAGAAGAAGAAAAGGAAAAAGAGCAGUUAUCAGACAGGAACUCUCACCACUUCACAGCAACACCUGAUCUGCACCUGUAUCUCUGCUAUCCCUGUGGAAUAAAGGACCUUAUCCUACCUGAGGCCAGGCCCUUCACCUGGAUCCCAUGCCCAUCUUCUGGAGGAGGAGUAGGACUUUGCAAUGAUUCCAAUUAUCACCUAUCCAUUUAUUUCUCCAUCAUUCUGUUAUCUAUGAUACAAGAGGCAGUAAAACGUAAAGCCAUC